GGGAUAACCGGAUAGAUGGAAGCAAACUAGUGGUAACCGUGGUGCUCGGCUUGGCGAAUAUGGAGGUUGCGUUUGAAUUUCAAUGUGCUCCUCUGCUUUCUGUAGACUUUAGACAUGUAUAAACCUGAUAUGCUCGCCUGUCUUUGGCUUAGUUUACCUUUUCUAAGGCACCAAUGUGGUUCAUUCGUUGGUUGAUUUAAUGUUAUGUUUUUGCGUUUCUUGGUGGGAUUUUGGUCAGGAAGUACUUAAUUUGUGAAUUUAUGCGUGUGGAUGUUGGCAUUUUUGGGGAAAGUCCAUAGAAAUGCAUGGCCAAGGAGAGGCUGAUCGAUGUGGGAUGCUUAUUGGCAGGGAAGUUCGUGAGAGAUAGUAUCGCUCACAUAUGAUGAAUAUAAAUAAAUUUGAACACAUUCAUGGAAUUCAUGGUUUCAUAUACGCUCGAACAAUAUGAUGAAUAUAAAACUAGAAAUUUCACGGGAGAGGAUUUUUGGAAUAUGGAUACACCGGAACCCACUUCAUAAAACUUAGCAAACGAUGUAUUUCUAUGUUUUGCAAGUUCCCCCAAAAAUAUCAUCCAUAUAAACCUGAUAUGCUCGCCUGUCUUUGGCUUAGUUUACCUUUUCUCAUGGAUCAAUGUGGUUCAUUCGUUAGUUUGGUUUAAUUUUGUGUUUUUGCGUUUCUUGGUGGGAUUUGGUCAGGACUCACGAAGUACUGAAUUUGUGAACGGAUUUGCUACUUUACGGUCGACUGUUUUACAAUCCGUUGUCAUUCAAAUCUCUG
rnacentral:lncRNA from 1 species